CCUGGUGCUCUAGUGGCUAAGGAUCCUGCACUCUCACUGCUGCGGCCCAGGAUCAAUUCCCGGAACCCAGUA